GUAAAAAAUAAAAACUCAAGGUUCAAGAUAUGAGUUAUAAGAAUAUUUACUAAAUUUAUAUACUGAUUUAAUAUUUCUUUACUGUUUUAUAUUUUCUUUUGAAAAUUUUUAACACUUGCAGAAGAGUUGCAAGCACAUUACAAAAAAAUCCCCUGGGACAAUUUUAUAUAUAUAUAUAUAUAUAUAUAUAUAUAUAUAUAUAUAUAUAUAUAUACACAUAUAUAUAUAUAUAUAUAUACACACACAUAUAUAUAUAUAUAUAUAUACACAUAUAUAUAUACAUACAUAUAUGUUUUUUUAAUUUUUUGAGACGGAAUCUCACUUUGUCACCCAGGCUGGAAUGCAGUGGUGCAAUUUUGGCUCACUGCAAAUGCUGCCUCCCGGGUUCAAGAGAUUCUUUCCUCAGCCUCCUGAGUAGCUGGUACUACAAGCAUGAGCCACCAUGCCCAGUUUAUUUUUGUAAUUUUAGUAGAAACGGGGUUUUGCCAUGUUGGCCAGGCUGGUCUCAAAAUCCUGACCUCAGGUGAUCCACCCACCUCGGCCUCCCAAAGUGUUGGGAUUACAGGCGUGAGCCACCAUGCCCAGCCCCCAUAAACAAUUUAAUCUCCUGAAAACAAGGGUAUUCUUCUGUAUAAGCAUAAUACAACCAUAAAAAUCAGAAACUGAUACCGUGCUACCAUAUAAUACUCACACCCCAUUCAGAUGUCAUCAAUUUUUUCCAGUAAUGUCCUUUAUAAAAAGGAUCUACUUCAUAGAUUGCAUUUAAUUGUCAGUUCUUUUCUUUCCCUUCAAUCUGGAACAGUUUCUACAUAUUCCUGUGACCUUCAUAAUUUUAACAAUUUGAGUAUUUUUAAAAAUGUUUCUCAAUUCCAGUUUGUCUGAAUCUCUGUGUUAAUAUUUUCUUAUUUUGUGUUUUCUUGAUGCUCUGGCAUCAGGGGCCUUGCUGACUGGGGAGAAACUGCCUGUCUCAAAACUGGCCAAUUCUUAGACAUAGCAAGCUACUCUCCCUGAGAGAAUGCAUUUCUUUCUUUCUUUCUUUUUCUUUUUAAAUUGUACUUUAAGUUUUGGGAUACAUGUGCAGAAUGUGCAUGUUUGUUACAUAGGUACACAUGUGCCAUGGUGGUUUGCUGCACCCAUCAACCCGUCAUCUACAUUAGGUAUUUCUCCUAAUGCUAUCCCUCCCCGAGCCCCCAACCCACUGACAGGCCCCGGUAUGUGAUGUUCCCCUCCCUGUGUCCAAGUGUUCUCAUUGUUCAACUCUCACUUAUGAGUGAGAACAUGUGGUGUUUGGUUUUCUUUUCCUGUGUUAGUUUGCUGAGAAUGAUGAUUUCCAGCUUCAUCCAUGUCCCUGCAAAGUACAUGAACUCAUCCUUUUUUAUGGCUGCAUAGUAUCCUAUGGUGUAUAUGUGCCACAUUUUUUUUUUAUCCAUUCUGUCAUUGACGGGCAUUUGGGUUGGUUCCAAGUCUUUGCUAUUGUGAACAGUGCUGCAAUAAACAUACAUGUGCAUGUGUCUUUAUAGUAGAAUGAUUUAUAAUCCUUUGAUUAUAGUAGAAUGAUUUAUUACCCAGUAAUGGGAUUGCUGGGUCAAAUGGUAUUUCUGGUUCUAGAUCCUUGAGAAAUGGCCACACUGUCUUCCACAAUGGUUGAACUAAUUUACACUCCCACCAACAGUGUAAAAGCGUUCCUAUUUCUCCACAUCCUCUCCAGAAUCUGUUGUAUCCUGACUUUUUAAUGAUCACCAUUCUAACUGGCAUGAGAUGGCAUCUCAUUGUGGUUUUGAUUUGCAUUUCUCUAAUGACCAGUGACGAUGAGCUUUUUUUCAUAUGUUUGUUGGCCACAUAAAUGUCUUCUUUCAAGGAGUGUCUGUUCAUAUCCUUCGCCUACUUUUUGAUGGGGUUGAUUUUUUUUUCUUAUAAAUUUGUUUAAGUUCUUCGUAGAUUCUGAAUAUUAGCCCUUUGUUAGAUGGAUAGAUUGCGAAAAAACUUCUCCCAUUCUGUAGGUUGCCUCUUUACUCUGAUGAUAGUUUCUUUUGCUGUGCAGAAGCUCCUUAGUUUAAUUAGAUACCAUUUGUCAGUUUUUGGCUUUUGUUGCCAUUGCUUUUGGUAUUUUAGUCAUGAGGUCUUUGCUCAUGCCUAUGUCCUGAAUGAUACUGCCUAGGUUUUCUUCUAGGGUUUUUAUGGUUUUAGGUCUUACAUUUAAGUAUUUAAUCCAUCUUGAGUUAAUUUUUGUGUAAGCUGUUAGGAAGGGGUCCAGUUUCAGUUUUCUGCAUAUGGCUAGCCAGUUUUCCCAACUCCAUUUAUUAAAUAGGGAAUCCUUUUCCCGUACCUUGUUUUUGUCAGGUUUGUCAAAGAUCAAAUGGUUGUAGAUGUGUGGCAUUAUUUCUGAGGCCUCUGUUCUGUUCCAUUGGUCUAUAUAUCUGUUUUGGUACCAGUACCAUGCUGUAUUGGUUACUGUAGCCUUGUAGUAUAGUUUGAAGUGAGGUAGCGUGAUGUCUCCAACUUUGUUCUUUUUGCUUAGGAUUCUCUUGGCUAUACAGGCUCUUUUUUGGUUCCAUAUGAAAUUUAAAGUAGUUUUUUCUAAAUCUGUGAAGAAAGUCAAUGGUAGAUUGAUGGGGAUAGCAUUGAAUCUAUAAAUUGCUUUGGGCAGUAUGACCAUUUUCAUGAUACUGAUUCUUGCUAUCCAUGAAGGUAGAAUGUUUUUUCAUUUGUUUAUGUCCUCUCUUAUUUCCUUGAGCAGUGGUUUGUAGUUCUCCUUGAAAAGGUGCUUCAUAUCUCUUGUAAGUUGUAUUCCUAGGUAUUUUAUUAUCUUUGUAGCAAUUGUGAAUGGCAGUUCACUCAUGAUUUGGCUCUCGGUUUGUCUGUUAUUGGUGUAUAGGAAUGCUUGUGAUUUUUGCACAUUGAUUUUGUAUCCCGAGACUUUGCUGAAGUUGCUUUUCUGCUUAAGGAGAUUUUGGGCUGGGACAAUGGGGUUUUCCAAAUAUGCCAUCAUGUCAUCUGCAAACAGAGACAAUUCAACUUCCUCUUUCCUAUUUGAAUACCCUUUCUUUCAUUCUCUUGCCUGAUAGCCCUGGCCAGAACUUCCAAUACUAUGUUGAAUAGGAGUGGUGAGAGAGGGCAUACCUGUCUUGUGCCAGUUUUCAAAGAGAAUGCUUCCAGUUUUUGUCCAUUCAGUAUGAUAUUGGC
rnacentral:lncRNA from 1 species